CACACACACAUCAGUGUUCGCAGAGAGCGCGUAUGGGAACUGUACAAUGCCGAAGGAGAUCAAUGCACGGACAGGAUUCGUUCAACCUCUAGAAAGUCACAAUGUAACGGAAGGAACUUCCUCAUUUCUCUCUCGCUCUCACUCUCUUUCUCCCCGAGACUUCGGUUAGCUCUCUUCUCUUAUCUUCUGAUCGGUAUUAAUUCUUUUAAUCGAAGUCGCUUUUAAUAUUUGAUACUUAUGAGAGUAACAGUACACAAGAGUAUCUUGCUUAAACACUAAAAAAAAAAACACAAUAAUUUAUUACAAAAAUGUGUGUUCGUAUGGUUAGGUAUUUUUUAAAGUAUGUAUUUAUUUGUUUUGAUGCAGGUGGAGUAAAAUUAAUUAAAUAUCCACGUGGCUAAAUGCUUACCAUAUCAUGACCCUAAUCGGACAAAACCCAGCCAAAAUCAUCACAAAUCAAAUUGAAUGUGUCGGGUUUCUUUAUUCAUUCAUUCAUUCUUUUACAAUAAAAAAAUGUUCAACAGCAAAAAAUAUUACACAAAUUUUUAAAAUGUAAAUAAAUUGAAUAAAUAUUGUACGAAUUACGCUGUGCACGGUGCACGGUCGAGUUGGUUCUGAUUCUGAUUCUGUGAGGUGGCAGGCAGAAGGGGCAGCGCGAUUAUUUCCCUAAUCGAUGGAUGCGUUGGAUGUGCCUGCCAAAUGGGACAUAUACAUAUGUAUGGGGACGUCGUGCAUUUGUUCGAGCAAAGGUGAAGGUUACUCGCUGGUAACUCUGAAUCAAGUCUGGGCUGUACUUCAAAAAGAUGGCAUCGCAUGUUCAAAUGGUGAAUUGGGUCUGAACACUGCCGAUGGAUGUCAUUCUUUUAUAGUAUAUAAAUUAUGGUGCAGAUUAGAUGCAGUUAUGCGAAUGUGUGUGUGUGUUUGUGUGUGUGUGUGUGUGUGUGUGUGGGGUAUGGGUAUGCAUGCGUGUGAUUGGUGUUGAGAUACAUUCAUAGUACGAUAUACAUAUAUAUGUAAAUAUGUAUAAAUAAUGUAAGAACUGAAGCUGAAAAUCGAAAGG